rnacentral:rRNA from 1 species
CCUACGGGAGGCAGCAGUGAGGAAUAUUGGUCAAUGGCCGUAAGGCUGAACCAGCCAAGUCGCGUGAAGGAAGAAGGAUCUAUGGUUUGUAAACUUCUUUUAUAGGGGAAUAAAGGGAGCCACGUGGGGAUAUUUGCAUGUACCCUAUGAAUAAGCAUCGGCUAACUCCGUGCCAGCAGCCGCGGUAAUACGGAGGAGUCGAGCGUUAUCCGGAUGUAUUGGGUGUAAAGGGUGCGUAGGUUGAUUUUUAAGUCAGCGGUGAAAGUUUGUGGCUCAACCAUAAAAUUGCCGUUGAAACUGGCAGCCUUUAGUGUGUUUGAGGUAGGCGGAAUUCGUGGUGUAGCGGU